AACUUGAACCUAGUUAUAUGCCCUGACCAGGGACUGAACUCGCAACCUUUUGGUGCACAGGAUGAUGCACUAAUCAACUGAACCACCUUGCCAGGGCGAAGACAGUCCUUUUAAUCCUGUGAGUCCUGUCAGGACACUGCCUAGCAUGUAGCUCAAGUAUUUGUUGAAAUAAUGGAUGAAGGAAUCCAUUCCCCCCUUCUUUGUGCUGUCUCAGAACCUUGACUUAAAGUCAAGAAUAUUUCUUCCUUGUUUGUACAUCCCCCCCUGGCUUUUCUCCAUGACAGCAUUAACCUAUUCUGUAAUAAUAACAGUAAGUGCUUCAGAGUUGGGCAACCUCAAGUUCAUGACUUGACUUUGCUGUUUACUAGAUUGAGGCCUUUGGCAGAUUACUUAAUACAUUACUAAACCUCAGUUUCCUCACCUCUAAAAUGGAGAUGAUACUAUCUGCUGUAUAGUAUUAUUGUCUAGUGCGAAUAAAAUAGCAUUUGUAAAGUGCCUGGAAGAUAGGAGGUGUUUAUUAAGUGCAGAUUCCCUUCUUCAGAGCGACACCGUGGCGGGACAGCAAGAGCUGAAUGUUCCUGUUGCAGACCCCGGUUCUGCUGCUUGUUGGUUGGGUGUCUUUGGCCAGCCCAUGAUUCUCAAUAGCCUUUUUAGGAAAAUGGGCAUAAUUAUAAUUUUUCUUAUUGAAUUGUUAGGGAAAUUAUGUAAGAUUUAUGUUAGGUAUGCAGCUAGUGCUUGGUGUCCAGUAAGUGCUUAAUAAAAUGGCAAUAAUUAUUCUGAGAAGUAAUAAUAUACUACAGUAUUUUUCCUGCUUUCUAUGAUCUAUAAGCACUACUUAUUAUCCCCUAUGGUUGUCCCUAACAGUAUUUACUAAAGAUUGAAUUGGUUUUGGUGAUACUUAAAUUUUCUGUCCUGAAAAAAUCCUGCAUCAUCUGUAAGUGUAUUUAUAUAGAGGCUUCCUUUCAGUUAGUUUUCUUUACAGCAACCCACUCCCUGGCAACCAGUCUUCAAAACCUGUAUUUAUAUUCUCAGCACAUUUUCCCCCUGUGUAACCUUAGCAUCGCUUCCCUCAGGAGCUCCCUGAAGAACUGGAAUUCAGAAGGAAUCUCUCAGACACAGAUCUCCAUCCUCUCGCUAGGUCAACUGCAAACCCUUUCCAGGUGUCUGCCCAGAGUGUCAGGGCACACUGCAGUUUUGGCCUACCGUGCUCCAAAAGAAUGAGGACUUAAAAUUGUGAAGGCUGCAGAAGAGAAUUAUGUUUGGGGCAUGUCUUUAGCCUUCAGGAAAACCUGCUGCCAGUGGUCAGGCAGUUUGGUUACUCUCACUCCCCUGGGCCCAGGAGGCUCUGAACAGGCUCCAGGAGCUUUGUGGUCUGUGGCUGAGGCCGGAGGUGUACACCAAGAAGCAGAUCCUGGAGCUGCUGGUGCUGGAGCAGUUCCUGGCCAUCCUGCCAGAGGAGCUGCAGGCCUGGCUGCGAGAGCACCAACCAGAGAACGGAGAGGAAGCCGUGACUAUGCUGGAGGAGCUGGAGAAGGAGCUUGAUGGGCCAGCAGAGCAGGACAUAGCUCAUAGCCAAGGAACGAUGGAGAAGGAAAUGGCAUCCUCAGGAGCACUGAAGUCUCUGAGUAUCCAGCUUCAGCCCUUGGAGAAUCAGUGUCAGUGCAAGAGUGAGACUCAGGAGCCCCAGGCUUCCCAUGAGAGGUGAGGAGCCACAGGCCAUUUGGAGACACUGUCACUUCUGAAGACCUGGUGACCAAAGCUGCUGUGGUAAGAGGAGUGGUGAACUUGGCUGGGAGGCUUGUGUCCAAAGGUGGUGGGGUUAUUACUGAGUGAGGGCAAGCAGAAGUCUGAAGGCUUCAUACAGAUAGAGGGUUGCCUUUUCUUAUAAUGACAAUCAUAUGAUUUCAUGUUCUAAUAUCAUUUAAUAGUUUUCUUAUUGUGAAUUAAUUGUAAAUGUUGAUAAUACAGAAAAUGGGAAAGUAUAAAUCACCCACAAUCCCACUCA